CUUAGAUCGUACCCACACUUACUUGGAUAACUGUGGUAAUUCUAGAGCUAAUACAUGCAAACAUAACUCCGACCGGAGACGGAAGGAGUGCUUUUAUUAGAUCAAAACCAAUCGGUGGCGGGCUUGCUCGUCAUCGCACAACUUGGUGACUCUGAAUAACUUUGUGCUGAUCGCACGGUCUUCGCACCGGCGACGCAUCUUUCAAAUGUCUGCCUUAUCAACUGUCGAUGGUAGGUUCUGCGCCUACCAUGGUUGUAACGGGUAACGGGGAAUCAGGGUUCGAUUCCGGAGAGGGAGCCUGAGAAACGGCUACCACAUCCAAGGAAGGCAGCAGGCGCGCAAAUUACCCACUCCCGGCACGGGGAGGUAGUGACGAAAAAUAACGAUACGGGACUCAUCCGAGGCCCCGUAAUCGGAAUGAGUACACUCUAAACCCUUUAACGAGGAUCAAUUGGAGGGCAAGUCUGGUGCCAGCAGCCGCGGUAAUUCCAGCUCCAAUAGCGUAUAUUAAAGUUGUUGCGGUUAAAAAGCUCGUAGUCGAAUUUGUGUCUCGUGCCGCUGGUUCAUCGUUCGCGGUGUUAACUGGCGAGUCGCGAGACGUCCUGCCGGUGGGCUUAGCCUGCAAGGGCGGCCCAACUCAAUCCUGCCGCGGUGCUCUUCAUUGAGUGUCGAGGUGGGCCGGCACGUUUACUUUGAACAAAUUAGAAGUGCUUAAAGCAGGCUAAAACUUCGCCUGAAUAUUGUGUGCAUGGAAUAAUGGAAUAGGACCUCGGUUCUAUUUUGUUGGUUUUCGGAAACCCCGAGGUAAUGAUUAAUAGGAACGGAUGGGGGCAUUCGUAUUGCGACGUUAGAGGUGAAAUUCUUGGAUCGUCGCAAGACGGACAGAAGCGAAAGCAUUUGCCAAAAACGCUUUCAUUGAUCAAGAACGAAAGUUAGAGGUUCGAAGGCGAUCAGAUACCGCCCUAGUUCUAACCUUAAACGAUGCCAGCUAGCGAUCCGUCGACGUUCCUCCGAUGACUCGACGGGCAGCUUCCGGGAAACCAAAGCUUUUGGGUUCCGGGGGAAGUAUGGUUGCAAAGCUGAAACUUAAAGGAAUUGACGGAAGGGCACCACCAGGAGUGGAGCCUGCGGCUUAAUUUGACUCAACACGGGAAAUCUCACCAGGCCCGGACACCGGAAGGAUUGACAGAUUGAGAGCUCUUUCUUGAUUCGGUGGGUGGUGGUGCAUGGUCGUUCUUAGUUGGUGGAGCGAUUUGUCUGGUUAAUUCCGAUAACGAACGAGACUCUAGCCUGCUAAAUAGGCGUAUUUUGACAUCCUAAAGGCCCGCCGGCUUGGGGUUCGCUCCUUGUCGUGCGCGGUUUUUACUGUCGGCGUACAAACAAUUCUUCUUAGAGGGACAGGUGGCUUCUAGUCGCACGAGAUUGAGCAAUAACAGAUCUGUAAUGCCCUUAGAUGUUCUGGGCCGCACGCGCGCUACACUGAAGGAAUCAGCGUGUCCUCCCUGGCCGAGUGGCCCGGGUAACCCGCUGAACCUCCUUCGUGCUAGG
rnacentral:rRNA from 1 species